rnacentral:lncRNA from 1 species
CUGGUAUCUUUUUCCCCUCUUUUAAAAAGUACACGUUAUAUGUUUAUUACACUGUAGAUAAGUGAACAUUUGUUAUUUUGUUCGCACACACGUUUACUUUGAAUUUUUGCUACGAUCGCCACUUUUUAAAGACAAUGCUGCAUGUAUUUUAUUUUGAACUAUUUUAACACAACUGUGUGCCUCAGGAUUAUUAUUUCAAAGCUGUUUUUUUCUAUUUUCAAUCACUCACUCCUCAAGUGUAUCGGCAUUAAUCCUCCUGCAUGUCCUGGAAUGAGACAAAGUCAAACUUUGAGCAAGGAGUUAAAAAAUGCAUUCAGAUGUGGUCACAUAAGUAUACACCUUGGAAAAUUAAGACGACAGACA